rnacentral:rRNA from 1 species
UACGGGGGGGGUAAGCGUUGUUCGGAAUUACUGGGCGUAAAGGGCUCGUAGGCGGCCAACUAAGUCGGAUGUGAAAUCCCCAGGCUCAACCUGGGAACUGCAUCCGAUACUGGAUGGCUUGAAUUCGGGAGAGGGAUGCAGAAUUCCAGGUGUAGCGGUGAAAUGCGUAGAUAUCUGGAGGAAUACCGGUGGCGAAGGCGGCAUCCUGGACCGACAUUGACGCUGAUGAGCGAAAGCUAGGGGAGCAAACGGG